GCUGAACGCUGGCGGCGUGCCUAAUACAUGCAAGUCGAGCGAAGCGGGGUCGGGUGUGUAACACGUGGAUAACCUCCUAUAAGACUGGGCUCACUUCGGGAAACCGUAGCUAAACCGGAUACUCCUAGAUGGCUCCGCGCUGCAUUAGCUAGGUGGUACGGUAACGUCUUACCAAGGCAACGAUGCAUAGCCGACCUGAGAGAGGGAUCGGCGAAGAUGAAGAUGAGACACGGUGCAGAAACCUACGGGAAGCAGCGAUAGGGAAUCUUCCGCAAUGGGCGAAGGCCAGAAGGGGCGAAGGCGCGUGAGUGAUGAGGGUCUUCGGAUCGUAAAACUCUGUUGUUAGGGAAGCGGUAGCUAAUCAGAAAGCCACGGGUAACUGCGUGCCAGCAGCCGCGGUAAUUC
rnacentral:rRNA from 1 species